CCAGAAGGCACAAGGUACAAGCACUCACGGGAGAGGAUGCCAGGAAUGGAGACUGAGCACUAGAAAGGCUAACUCUGCAGAAAACACCUCCAUCUGGUCCUCCUCUUUCACUCUGCACAUGGUAGAGGCUUCCCUCCCUUCUGUAAACAGCCUUCGCAUCCCAGCUGAGCUCCCCAGCAUGGAAUUGUCAACAGGGAGGGAACACAGGCCACCACAGCAGAAUACCAGAUGGAGAUGGAGCUCUUCAGUGGAACCUAACUCUUCAGUAAUAGGAAGCUGAAUACAAAGCCCACCAUCAGGAGCAGCUUUCACACAGACAGACAUUAAGUAUUCCCCAAAUUGAACACUUUCUAUCUCUUGUGGCUUGAUCCAGACUGGUUUGCCUUAUAAUUUCUUGGAGACAAGCCCAGGAACUUCACAUGCCAGCAAUCCUCUUUAUGGCACCAGAGAGACAGGACUGGCACUUUUGACAGGCUUCACUCCACAGGGAUGGCCAGUUGGGCUUGUUUAAGUCAGCAUCACAACAGUUUGGAAAGAGCCUGCAUAUUCAGGAAGUGACAAACACCAGUACUGCUGAAACCAGAAAAAGCAGAGCCCCUGCCUCUGCCCGGAGCCCACUCACCACUAGCACAAUUUAUUGUGAUAAGAAGAGGAAUGUGUCAUAUGCCUGGAAAGUCCAGCUUGUGUCCCUAAAUGGUCAUGACUUUAGCAUUAAAAGGUUUUGCAGCAUGACUGGCCUCCAUUAAAGACCCAACCCUGCAGCAAAGGCUGAUCUAAGUCUAGGCAUCCCUCACCCAUCUCUUCAGUCAGCUCCACCCCUCAAGGCAACCCCCCACCUCGCCUCUGGCUGACCAUCAAGCCCAGGGCAUUGCAGGAUUGGGGGUAAGGGAUGAGAGGGUGGGCAGGGGUCUCAUUGCUAAUAAGGAUGGCCCCACAGCAUCUGCGCAGGUGCACCGGUGGCCCUCUUUAAGACUUGGGCAAGGGUUGGGGACCAACGAGGGACUGCGUUCUGUUGCCUGGAAAACCAGGAUUCUUCAGCAAAGGGAUCUGCCCAAAGUCUAGAAUACAAGCCAGCAACUUGCUUUACACCUUCUUCAAAAGGCAAAAGAAACUGUAGAAACUGGCUGUUAUGGCCUAAGUAUAUUCUAAGUUCAAAGUCAAGUGUUCUGUUACCACUGUUACUUGUUUUAAAAUCCCCCUUUCAGUAUUAGUGUUGGCCAAUGAAGGUGUCUGGGAUCAGAAAUAUAUAGGCUCUCUAUCAAAUGAACACAAAACAUCACUUCCACAUGUGAAAACUUAACAAAGGGAAACCUCACUAACAGGGCCCAGCAAGGCCCAGCAGGGGUCGCUCUCAGGCCCUACCAUAUCGCCUUAGCUUUACUGGCCACCAGGAGGGAGGAAGGUUUCUGCCUCUCUGCAACAGGCCAGCCAGUGAGAGACUGUUACAACCUAGCCAAUGAACAGCCACAAUACUUGGAACUCCCAAUUUCCUCCAAUGGGCUUUUUGUUUAUAACAGCCCCUCCCAAGUUCACCCUUUCAUCCUUUGUUCUCUGAACUUGCCUAUGGUUUUACACCAUCUUGCUUGCUCUGAAUUGUAAUUCUCUGCUAUUGCCCUGCUAUUGUAAACCUGCUUUUGCUGAAAAAAAAAGACUGAGUUUUAUUUUCAAGGUUAACUCACACAAUAUGCAAUUUCUAGGACAAAAACUCAGUACAGAUCAAAUAAAUGACAGUAUGCAACAAAGACAAGUAAAGGCUGCCAUUCUUCAAAAAGCUAACACGAGUUAUCAUAAAAUCCAGCAGUUCCACUCCUAGGCAUAUACUCUACAGAAUUAAAAACAUAAGACCACACAAAACUUCUACAUGAAUGUUCACAGUAGCAUUAUUCCUGGUAGCCAAAAAGUGAAAACAAUCCAAAUGUCCACUAAAUGAUGAGUGGAUGAACAAAAUGUGGUAUAGCUAUACAAUCAUUAUUUAGCAACAAAACAUAAUAAAGUAAUGAUGCUACAAAAUGGAUGGAUGUUGAAAACAUCAUGCUAAGUAAAAAGUUAGUUGUAAAAGAGCACAUAUUAUAUGAAUCAGUUUAUACAAAAUGUCCAUAAUAGUCAUGUCUACUGGAACAGAAAGUAUAUAAGUACUUGCUCAGGGAUAGGACUUCAUGACUAUUCAUACAACUGUCCUGUUAUGAUUUGUGUACUUUUAAACAUUUCAUGUUUCAAUAAAAAUGUUUAUUAAAAGAAAAUUUGUAUAAAAAAAAGGCAAGUAAAGGCUGAGAUAGAACAUUGGCAUGGUGUUCGUAAAAGAUUAUUAGGUGCCCAGUGUUUAAUAAGUGUAAUGGUGUGCUAUUGUGUCUUGUAGUGGGUGAUAGGAAAUUGAAAAGACAUGGUUUUUGGAUCUUGACAGAAAGAGAUGGUUCCUGGCAAUAAGGAAUCUCCAUGUACAUUAAUUGGACAAUAAAUGCAUAUAUAAGCAGCAUUUCUCUUUCCAUUAUUCUUAAUCUUUAUUGAUAAAUCACUAUACCUCAAUGGGCUUAUGAAUAUUGUACAAUGCAUUAAUUUUGAAUUAAUUCAUUUAUAUAAACAGGAGUCCCACAAAUGUGUCUUUCUGGGGCCUGACCUAAGGUGGCCCCUGAUGACCCCUGACUGGCCAGUGGCAUGAUGGAUUUCAAAGGUAAUUAGAAUAUGAAAAAAAAAACCAAACCAAAAACUUGUAUCUUAAAAAGAUGAAAUAUAAUGAUUUAGUGGCUUAGAAAAGACAAAAAAUUCUUUCUUUCUCACUUGAGAUACUUAUUCUAGGAUGGUUGGAGGCUCUGUGCCACAUGGUCAUUCAGGGAUCCAGGUUCCUUGCAUCUUCCUCUGUCAUCCUCUAGGGCAUCAUUCUCAGUUGCAUGGUCAAAGCUGGGACUCAAGCAAGUUUAUGUGUGGUGCAAGGGAAGGAGAAAGAGUGAGCAUCAGCAGGCCUACUAUCUUCAGUCAUAGGUCUGGUCAUCUCUUCUGUUCAAAUAGUGCAAACUUAGUCACAUGGUCACACCUAACUGCAAGGGAGACUGGGAAAUGCUGGACAGCUAUGGCCCCAAAUACAAAUGUGUUACUAUGGAAGUAGGGGAGGAAGUGUCUUGGUGGAACUCUGGUAGUCUUCAUUUUAGGAACCAUUUGAAUGAAUCAUCUCAGUGGCUAGUUUGUCCUAAAGACACAUAAGAGAGCUUUCGUUUGUCACCUGGAGUUUGAUUUGAACAAUCAUGGCACAACCUUUGUACUGCCAUUCAGCAAAGCCAUCCCUAUUAUUACCUCUCACCUUGAUGGGUUUAAUAAUGAUGAACUUGUUUUUAGGAUAAAGACUGUGGUAGCUCUCUGUUGCUUUUUAUCAUACAGAAUUCUUUCACCUGUCCUCUGGUAGUGGUACCCUGAUUUUCCUCUUGGGAGCCCCCACUUUUCCAUGUUUUAUGUCCUGCAUGCACAGUUGACUGUACUCCCAGACCCACGGAUGGGCAUGUGACUGCAGCCUGGCCAGUUAGGCCAUCACAUUCCCCGGCCAUGGUGUUUUGCUCAGUGACAAACCCAUGGUCCAAUCAGAGCCAAUGAAGUGCAAUGAGACUUUUUCUAGGAUUGCAGAGAGAACACUUUGCAUUUUCCUUCCACAUUCUCAAACCUUAGAAGAUACAGGACUGGUAGCCAU